UACAGAGGGGGCGAGCGUUGUUCGGAAUUACUGGGCGUAAAGGGCGCGUAGGCGGCCUGCUAAGUCAUACGUGAAAUCCCUCGGCUCAACCGGGGAACUGCGUGUGAUACUGGCGGGCUUGAGUAUGGCAGAGGGGGGUGGAAUUCCGCGUGUAGCAGUGAAAUGCGUAGAGAUGCGGAGGAACACCGAUGGCGAAGGCAGCCCCCUGGGCCAAUACUGACGCUCAGGCACGAAAGCGUGGGGAGCAAACAGG
rnacentral:rRNA from 1 species